GAGGCAAAGCUGGUCUUCCUUUCAUGCAUGUUGAUCUGCAAAUCCUAUGAACUGUAAAUGCCUUUUGGAUUUGAAAAGUAGCCUUAUGUCUAGUUACAAAUUGAAGAAGUGGACUCAACUGGAUAGAAUUUCCAUAAUUCUGAAUGCCUUGAUUUUUUUUUACCACUGCCGGUGGAAAAAUCUUCCUUAAGGGCAGGCAAAGGAAGCUGUUAGCAAACCUCCACAGGAGGGCACUCUAGUGUGAUUGGUUCAAGCUGCGGCAGCUGAGGCCCAUUCUGUCCUUAUCCGGGUUUUAAUGAAGUAUCUCAAAUAGACUGUGCGUUUCCUGAACUGGAAAAAUUCGAUGUUGCCCAAACUCGGGAUGGUAGGUUUCACGCAUGCACAUCUUGAAACAAGGGCACGUGACUGCUUCUGCCUUUGGAGGCAUCAUCACACCAAAGCUGGGCUCCAGAGCCCACAUGGCCUCCAGACCAUCCUAUCAGUCAUGCUACCCUGACUAGAAUUCUGGACCGUACUAACAAGACAAACAUCGGGAGAUCGACUCAUGAGGAGAAGAGGACAAACUAGCUUAAACUGUCUAGAAAACACCUCAUACUUGUAGAUAACCUCAUACUUGUAUGCUCCCAUACUUGUAGAUAAAUCAACUAACUCAAUUGCCAGCCAAGUCUUUGAACAGUUUUACAGAAUAUUGCAGCAAGAAUAGCAUUGUGAAGCUUCAGAUCUGGUCAAUAGACAAUCGAUUAUCACCUGCCAAGGCCUUCUGUGUGCCAGGCCCUGUGCCAAGAGGUGGUACUAUAAGAGGAAUGUGGGCCUGAGCUCGGAUCAUCUCUGCCUUGUCCCCUCCGGUUUCGGACAGUUAUAUCAUUUACAGAGAUAGCAUUUACUUCAUUCAAAUCCUCCCCCUAGAUGACCCACUGUUGUUGAUCUGUCCUCAGGAGUUCUGAAGACAAGAUUAGUCCCUUUUUGAGUUACCAGUCUUUCAGAUUUGAAGGCAGUUACUACGUUGACUGAGAACCUCCUAUUCUUCAGAGGCUUCUGGCUCAUAGAAAAUCCAGGUUGCUUUCCCUCAAGCAUUUGGAAAUGUUCCCUUUAACACUUGGGCUGCUCAACAGCAUGCGGCCUACCUUGGGCAUGUCUGGACACCCCAGAUGAUGUCAAAAAGGCUGCUUUAUCUGGAAACUGAAUCUGGGAUUGCUAAUGAAUUCUGUAGGCAUGUGAUCAUAGAACAGAAACAUGUUGGCUUUUUCUGAACUGCAUCCGUUCCUCUACAGCCUGCCAUCUAUUGGCCAGAUAAUAUUUUAAACAGCAGAACCCUGUGGCUAGAGUCCAUGUUUUCCAGAUCUUACUGUCACUCCUCUGGACAUUCUUUAUUGUGGAAUAUUCCUUUAUACUGUGUGAAUACAUAUCACUGUGAUUGGAAUAAUGAAGAAGCUGACUGGCAUAUAGCUGGGCAGGAUAAGGUUAGGUGGGAGAACCAGACUAAGAGGAGGCUGGGAAGAAGGAGGGAGAAGUCUGAGGGUCUCAAGGAGACUCAGGAGAAGCAGGAGAUGAACAUUCCAUGCUGAAAGAAGGUACCACCAUGUGGCAGAGGGUGGAUAAGAAAUAUGGGUUAAUUUAAGAUGUAAGAGCUAGUUAGCAACAAGUCUAAGCUAUCAGCUGAGCAUUUAUAAUUAAUAAGUCUCCUUGUGAUUAUUUGGGAACUGACUAGUGGGACAGAAAAGUCCACCUACACUUUGUGUUGCAUGAUUUAGACAUCUUGAAAAUAAUAAGAUGCUUCUCCUACUCAAAUAACUAUGAAAUCAUCGUCUGUGAUAGAACCUUUGGCUUCAGGGAAAAGCACACUACCUAAUCACAUGAUCAUGAAAUGCAGCUCUUCAAAAGAAUACAGGCACUUUCAUAAUGUGCAAGCCUCUGAAGUCAGAAAGAAAAGCAAGGGAGACAUAAUGCUGAAUAGUGAAAAUAAAGAGGACGAAAAAAAACUUUGAUAUUGACGCCUGCACUCUUAAAAUCAAACAGCUUCACUCUGACUGUUGAAAAUGUUUUCAAGAUACAGAGACAAGAGCCAAGGAGAAGCCAGGCUGACCUGGAACAUGGUCAACAUAGAGUGACUGCUAUCAGCAUUCUGAUAUAUCCUCUGGGUAUGAUUUGAAACACUUUCCUGGGAUUUUGGAGCAUUCCAUCUUACAGGGAAGCUCCUUAAGCAGGAAGGUAAACAACUCAAAAUAACUAUGGGAAGUCCCUGAAACUGACCAGAUUCACUAGGCCCCUCCCAGCCAGAGUCAAUUAUAAAAGCUAAGAGUCCACCUCAGAAGUGAGACUAGCCAAGCUCCAAAGAAGACUGAGUUCAGACCAGCUGCCCAGAAAAAGCAGAAACCAUCUGAGCUGCUGGGAGAGGUUUAGACCAGAGUCUCUUGUAAAGGACACUCUCCAACCUGUUGAGCUGCCUGCAGGCUGUGCAGUGUGCUCCAGGUCCCCAGCUUUAUGAGUUGUCACCCCUGUGGGGUAGGUGUUGGUGGUGCAGUUGUCUUUGAGUCAUUUCUGCUCCUGUAAGUGACCCCUCACCCACACUCCUGUAAGUAACCUCAAUAAAACUCAUCGGUUCACCAAGUUAGACUUUUGUGGUAUCAGUACUUUGGUCUGUUGUGGGCUCCCUGUCUGGGGUAAGUAGACAUGUGUGUUGUGUCUCCCCAGAAAGAGUUUUGUCACACAACAUAAUGGAUGCCCAAACAGGGGCAUGAUAGAACCAAAGAUGAGUUGGGGAGGAGUGAGCGCGUGGUCCUGGCUAUGGACAGCAAAGUGUGGAACUGAGACUGAGGAGCCGGAGAGGGGAGCAUCCAUGGAGGAAAUACUGAUGGAGUUGUUCUUUCUUGUAUGGGGUGUGUUAGUGUGCCUUUGUGCUAUGACAGUAGUCACACAGUUCUUGCUGUGAGUAACGAGACAUGCAGCUAAGGCUGAGCCAUCAAGACUAGGAGUGUCUGUGGGAGGAAUCCCAAGAUGACAGUCUUCAUCCUUGUGGUGUAGGGUGGCGCCCUUUCUUGAUGAGUAGGGUCCACCACACUAAUAUAGAGAUGCCCUGAAAACAGUUAAGAGAGUUGGAGGAAAUUUCACAGUAUUGGAGAUUAGUGCCCAAGGGUUGAGACUGUCAGCAAGCAGCAACAGAGGUUGUCUGGCCUUUGUUGUGUUUAGUUAGAAAUGCAUCUGAGGCAAAGAUGGUAGACAAGAGGGUUUCGUUUGUGCAAAGCAGAAACUUGUUUAUGUAAAGGAGUAAUUGGAACAAGAAAGGGAGAUGUAAUUAGCAUCCUCUGUGUGAGCCUGGGGUUUGCAAGUAAACUAGGAAAAUGAGAGGUUGAGAUGGAGGUGUUGGCUUCUUAAGGCUUAGGGGCCAGAAGGAAAAGAGAGCGCAAGUAAGAUCCGUGCUCAGAAACCCUUCCUGUGAUCUGACAGCUUGGAACCCAUGGGAAGGUUCAGAAAGUAAGAAGGAGAACAUGGCAAAAGCAGUAGGUGAUACCUUGAGGGGCUGACCUUUAAUAAAAAAGAAAAGAAAAAAAUCUGUGAUCCAACAUAAAGAUGGCGGCCUUAACACCGGUCUGGGACCAGAAACUAGGGUGGUCAGAAAAUCAUUAGCACUUAAAUUUAUGAAGUUGGGGAGACUUUUAAGCAAGCAGUGAAAGAUCCUAUUACAGCCUGGCUCGUGAACAUGGGAAUAGAUGGGAUCAACCUGACUGCUGUGGGGGCGGAAAAACUGAGUCAUGUAGCUACUUUAAGGCAAAGUAGCCUGAGACAGUACAGGGGAAGUCAGGCCCUGAUGGACUGGCUUAUCAGAGCCAUUAGGAACACUUGGUCAUCUUCCUCUGAGGUUCCUAUGAAUACAAAGGAUCUGGAGGACCAUAGAGGAGGGGCUGGUGCUACUAAGGGGAGCAGAAACAGGAGAAGUUGUGUUAGAACCUUCGCUCACUGGGCCAGAUAGAAGUGUGUUCAUAGAGGAGUUAAGGAGAAGGUUGAUCCAGCAGGGACUUCAAGGCUGGUAUGGACUUUAAACAGCUUUGCUGAGCCCUUCAGUGGGGCAAGAUUUUUCUAAGUAGGAAAGUCUUUGGCAGAUCUAAAUGGCUUAGACCAUGUAGAGAGUGUUUAUAUAGUGAAGAGAGCCAUGUAGAGGUUGAGGAAAUGGUAAAGCAGAGUAAAUGUUCUGUCUGGGUUACUCAAGACAAAGGUGGCAAGAUUUGUGUCAAGUCAGUGUUCCUAAGGAGAGCCAAAUUGUGUUCUAAGCAGCUUCCUGAAGGCUGGACAGUCUUGUCCCACAACCCGGUCAUUGCAGAGACACACAGAGGUGAGGUGAACCCGGACCUGCAAUUCAAUUCUAGUAGGUAUGUUUCACUGGUUAGAUGAUUAGAUGACUAACAUGAUGUGAACAAUGUUCCAUAUUCCAUUGUAAUGAGCUACCUCACUUCGAGAAUAUUUCUUAAUGACCACAGAAUUCUUUGGAGUACCACUUAAGAGGUGGAGAUAGGAAAAAUAGGAGUCCAAGGUCAUCCACAACUAGAGAGUGAGUUCGUGGCCAGCCUGGGCUACAUAAGACCCUGUUCCAAAUAUUUAAAACAUGACAGUUGAGAUGAUUCAGAAGGUAAAGAUUCCUGCUGCCAAGCUUGAGGACCCAGGUUCAGCUCUUGCAAUUUGUCCUCUGACCUUUACAAGGGUGCACACAGUAGCACAUAUCCUUGCCUAUAGGCACACAAAAUAAAAUAAAUAAAAAUGUUGUUCCCUCCUUCCCUCCCUCCCUCCCUCUCUCCUUCCUUCCUUCCUUCCUUCCUUCCUUCCUCCCUUUCUCCCUCCCUGCCUGCUUUUCUUUUCCUUCCUUUCUAUCUCUGCCCCUCUCUGUCUUUCUCUCUCCCUUUCUCCCUCCCUCACUCUCUCUCUCUUCUUUCUUUUCAAGUCUGGGUGCUGGAGAGAUGGCUCUGUAUUUCAGAAUAAUUGCUGCUCUUCCAGAGAAUCUUAGCACACAUGAUGGACAACUUAUAACUGCCUAUAACUCCAGAUCCAGGGCAUCCAACACCCUCUUCUGGCCUCCAUUGGUACCUGCAGACAGUUAAAAACAUCUCUUAAGUUGCACAAUGAAGGAAUAAUCACUUUGGAUUGGCAAAGAAAUGUUGGACAGCAAGUGAGGCUUUAUACAUCCAGGCAGAGGGGAACGGGGAGAUCUAAUUACCAAAAGCCCAGCCUUAUUCAACGCCCUGCCGCAGAGGUGCUGAGAUGGAUGCCGCAGUGGUCCAGGAGGGCAGAAACACUCCAGUGACAGGCUCAGGAGCAGAAGCGCCAGAAGGGGAAAGCAAAGACAUUUGUAGCUGCCCUUCAAUUCCUCUUCCUCUCCCAAAUCUGUCCAGACGUGAAUGCUGUUUACACUGCUCUCUUUUCCUCAAGACAGUGGAUACAGUGGUUGUUACCUUUUCUCUUGUAAAACUCCGGGUAAUGUCUCUCUGACCGACUGCCUCUCUGCCAGGAUGUUGACGAGGAUGGGGCUGUCCUAUGUCCGCCAAGAGGGAACUGAAGCAGUGAAGACAGUAUCCAUGACUUGGAUAUGAUGGUCAACUGGACCAGGACCAGGAUGUGUACCCAGGGGAAGAUGCCUAAGGGGAUGCUUCCUGAGGGACAGGCCAAGUUCCCUCCCUGUCUCUCUGCACCCUCCAGCUUCUCCAGGGGGCUAGUUGGUGCCUCGCCUGGACAUCAAGUGACAGUUCAGUCAUGGGAAUGCAUUUGCUGUCUCUUCCAUUGGACUUCUGUCUGACUCAAGCUUCUAACUUUUGGGUUAGACCUCGAAGCAAGAUGGAACAAAAUUGGUCUGAGCUUUCUGGCUGGUGUCACACAUUGUUUGACACAAAAUGGGGGUGGGGCUAAUUUUCUUACAGUGGGAUAUGUGUGGUUCUCAGGGAAGAAGAAUACUCAAUGAAAAGAGGUAAACAACAUUUGCAUUUAUAAGAGUAUGCAAUAUUUAUGUAUAUAUAUAUGUAUAUAUAUAUUUAGAUUGCAUAAGCACAUAGCUCUCCCCUGCUCACCCCUGUGUGUGUGUGUGUGUGUGUGUGUGUGUGUGUGUGUGUGUGUGUGUGUCUGCUUGUUCAGAUUGCAUCAGCAGAGAGCAGUAGCACCCCAUACUCGUGUGGAGAAGAAAUUUGGUAGUAGUGUUUCCGGAGAUAUACCAUUUAGGCUAAAGUGAAAGUAUUUGAAGAAAUGUAAUUUUAUUGACAAGUUAAGUUUUCUAUUGUAUGACAGUUUCCUCCUUUUAAUGGCCAAUCUCCUCCUAGAAGGAGAGUUUUACAAGACCUAGACUGACAAUAAGACUUACAAGGCUGAGGAGAUCUUGAAACCAAGGGCUGAAGAACCCCAGAAAAUGAUGAGAUUCAGAGCCCCCCCCCCCCUCCAGGGUUGUAUAAGCAACAAGCAGUCACUGGAGAGGAUAGCAUCGCUGAUAAAACUACCUGUCACAUUCUGCAGGGAGCUCAAAGGAUGUGGCUUCCAUAAUGUCAUCUGUGCUGGGGGUGGGGGUGGGGGUGGGAGUUCAUCUGUCUUCAAGUCUCCCAUGCUCCCAGAAGUAAUUCUAAUAGACUCAUUAUUUCACUAAGCUAGACUGGGCAGAAUUAUUUCUUUGGUCUGUCUGUCUGUCCUCUGGGGGGUGAACAGGCAUUUGUUCAUGUCUCUCCAGGAAUAGUCAUGAAAUGUACAUGCCAUGGGCCUUAGGUGAAAAACUUGGUCUCUUAAGUUGAGUAUGACUUUCAGUGGUUGGAUCAACAGACUAUCAGGGCUAAAGUGAAACAUACCUCUUUUGAUAGUUUGGUUAUUCUUCAUAUUUAUAAAACUUAAUAAUCAUUGGAAUGAAUAUAUUGUGUAAUUUCACUGCUACUAAAUUUCUACUUGUGAACCCAUGAGGGAUUCUGAACAGUUGUGGAAAGGCUCACACUGUUUCAUACAACCUCAUUAUCAGUUCCAGAUAUCCUAAUCACUGGUACUUUAUCCUUUGUGUAAUAACUAUAUUUAAAUGCAUAGCUAUUCUGUAAUCACAAUGUGGAGAUUUAACAGCAUUACAUCUGGAUUUUCUGUAUUUAACUAAUCUCUUUAAGUAUUCUUUUUAUUAGGAGAUCUAAAAUUGGGCAUGAGGAGCUGUUAAGAUGUACACUGAUGAACAUUGCCUGGAGAGAUGAGUUGAGGCAGGGAAGGGAGCUUGUCCCUCACAGUCAGGAAAGGGACUUGGUGGCAUGUGUGGAGGCUUUGAUGCUGUGCUUAGCUAUGGGACCCCAUUUGCAUUAUAAACCUGGGCUUAGGGCUCAGCUGUAAAAUUCUGCCCUGCCGGAGCAGACCAGCAUGAGUAGAUAAAGAAGGAAGCCAGAGCAAGCAUACAUGGUUGACUUGCCCUGCCCGGGGAAUCUCAGGCCCUAAGGGGCAGAAGGAUCUUAGGGCACAGAUUCUCAUGUGCUUGCUCGUGCAUGCAUGCAUGUGUGUGUGUAUGUGUGUGUGUGCAUGUGUGGUGUAUGUGUAUGUGUGUGUGUGCGUGUGCGUGUAUGUGCGUGAGUGUGUGUGUGUGUGUGUGUGUGUGUGUGUGUGUGUGUGUGUGUGUGUGUAAGAGCAGGUGCACGCAUUCCAUGGUGAGUGGAAGAGCUGAGAGGACAACCUCAGGCAUUGAGCUUCAUUUUCCCUUUCCCUGUUUUCGGGAAUAUGGUCUUUCUUGUUCACUAUUUCACAGGCCAGGCCCGCUGGUCCAGGAGAUUCUCCCCCCACCUCCUAUCUCCUUAUGUGUCUGUCCAGGCUUACAGACACUCCUGGCUUUUCGUGGGCUCAAAGAAUCUGAACUUGGGUCCUCUGGCUUCCGCAGCAAGUGUUUUACCCACAGAGCCAUCAUCUACCCAGCCCCAGGGGCAGGUUUCUGUCCAUUUCCUCCUCUUCCCCCAGUGGAGGAAUUUCUCUUGCUCUAAAAGCUAUGGAGACUUGUACGGCUUUCAGUGAGACUCACAAAAUAGGAAGCAUGUUUUGAACUAAAUAAAAAAUCACAUUGUGUUAGAUGCUAUCUUAUAAAAAGUACUGGAUCCUAUGCCAUUAUUAAGCCAUCACAGAAAUCAGUAUAUAAGCUUUAUCGUAUUAAACACACUAACAUUUAUAAAGCUCCCAGACAACAACCGGGAUCUUUGCCAAGUGAGUCUCGAACCUGUGUAGGACAUUGGUGGCCCUCUGUGUGGAAGGAUGCUAAAUGUAAUGUUGGGAAGUAGUGGAGACACAGUUGAAAGCAAGAACAAAGAGACUGUGCAGAGAAACGUAGUUGGGAAGAGGCUGAUUUUCACCUACUGGUGUCUCAGGAUUUGUGACAUCUCAAAAUAUCUCUUUGGAGACAGGCAUGCCUCUCACACACACUUUGUGACAGGCUCCAUAAAGCAGAUUUUAGGCUGGGAGAUGGCUCAGCACUUGGUGUGCAUAUCUGAAGACCCAAAUUCAGGUCCCUGGCACCCAUAUAAAUGAUGGGUAGGCAUGGUGGACCACCACUAAUCCCAUUGCUCAGGAGGUGGAGACAGUGUUUCCUAGGGAUGGGCUGGCUGGUGGAAUAUGCUGAAUCAGAGGGCUCUGGGUUCAAGUGAGAGAUUCUGUCUCAAUAAAUGGAGUGGGGAGCAAUUGAGGAAAAUAGUUGAGGUCAACUUUGAGCCUCCAAAUACAUUUGCACACAUGUGUGUCCUCAUACACAUGUGUGUCCCUGUAUAAGCAAACGUGUGCACACUACACAUAUACAGGCAAGAAAUGAGACAGAUUUCUUCCUAAGUGGUGAAGAGUCACUGAUAUAAACAUACUUCCACUCCAUCCACAGUCACUUUCUGAGUAGAAAGUAAGACUUAAUAAUGAGUUAAACUGGUUAUUAGUUCAAAAUAUCUUAGGGUAUUUAAUAAACUCGAUGAAGUAUGUGA